GCUGCUCCUGACUCCGGGACGCGAGGCGGGCGCUCCGUGAAGCUCCAGCGCCUGCGGCUGCUGUUCUCCGGUGCCCGGGGCUGCGGCGCUCCGGAUCGCGGCCCCUGGCCCGGAACCGCUCGGAUCCCCAUCCCGCGCUCUGCCCUGGUGAACGCACGGUGCUGCUCGAGCCGCCCCGGGCUUGCACCCCCGGGCCAUGAAGAGCGGCCCGUGAGGGGCGCGCGGAGGCGGAGGAAGAGGAGGGAGGCCGAGGAGCAGGGCGCGGGAGGCGGAGGAUGCCGCCGCCGCCGCCGCCGCCGCCGCCACCCACGGGCCCCCGGCGAGCCUGACUCCAGAUCCGAGGAUGGAGCCGGCGCUGGGCGCUGCAGCGGCUCCCGGCGCGCCCCCGACCAGGUAGCCGGUGUCCUCUCUCAGAGUGGUCAGAAAAAGAAUUGCUCUUCCUGGUUGUCCUUCUGGAGCUGUCCUUUUGACCUGGAAUCCUGGGAUGACUUCACAACCCCCCAUCACUGAAUAAGUUGAAUUCUAAAAGCCUGCAGGCCACAGGGCUGCCACACAGACUCAGACCACUGGACUGCCACUGGCUGGGCCUAGGUAGCUGGCAGCUGAGACCGGCGUGGAACAGUCCCCUUUGGUAAGUGAGUUCUCUGGCAUUGCCUCCGCG
rnacentral:lncRNA from 1 species